CGUGCUAAUCUGCGAUAAGCGCCGGUAAGGUGAUAUGAACCGUUAUAACCGGCGAUUUCCGAAUGGGGAAACCCAGUGUGAUUCGUCACACUAUCAUUAACUGAAUCCAUAGGUUAAUGAGGCGAACCGGGGGAACUGAAACAUCUAAGUACCCCGAGGAAAAGAAAUCAACCGAGAUUCCCCCAGUAGCGGCGAGCGAACGGGGAGGAGCCCAGAGCCUGAAUCAGCAUGUGUGUUAGUGGAAGCGUCUGGAAAGGCGCGCGAUACAGGGUGACAGCCCCGUACACAAAAGCGCAUGUGCUGUGAGCUCGAUGAGUAGGGCGGGACACGUGGUAUCCUGUCUGAAUAUGGGGGGACCAUCCUCCAAGGCUAAAUACUCCUGACUGACCGAUAGUGAACCAGUACCGUGAGGGAAAGGCGAAAAGAACCCCGGCGAGGGGAGUGAAAAAGAACCUGAAACCGUGUACGUACAAGCAGUGGGAGCACAGGUUUACCUGUGUGACUGCGUACCUUUUGUAUAAUGGGUCAGCGACUUAUAUUCUGUAGCAAGGUUAACCGUAUAGGGGA
rnacentral:rRNA from 1 species